rnacentral:rRNA from 1 species
CCUACGGGAGGCAGCAGUAAGGAAUAUUGGACAAUGGGCGAAAGCCUGAUCCAGCCAUGCCGCGUGAGUGAUGAAGGCCCUAGGGUUGUAAAGCUCUUUCAACGGUGAAGAUAAUGACGGUAACCGUAGAAGAAGCCCCGGCUAACUUCGUGCCAGCAGCCGCGGUAAU